rnacentral:tRNA from 1 species
AGGGGUGUAGCUCAGAUGGUAGAGCGCCGGUCUCCAAAACCGGAUGUCGUCGGUUCGAUCCCGGCCACCCUUG